CUGCCCUUGAGUGUGGCUAGUCGUUCAGAGAGACCCCGCAUACGGGGGAAUAGCAUGAAAUCAUACAGGAUGGCACCCAUAGCACCACCAAUCAUGGGCCCCACCCAGUACACCUGUCACAGAACACGGAGAAAGCCAAAGCAGGAGCGAAAGACCUGGCAGGGUUCAUACCUGCUCCAGUGUAGUACAUCUGGUUCAAAGAGAAACAAAAGAGAUAUUUAAAAGGAUGUUUCAUCCAAAAACUACUGAUCUAUUUUCCAUGGAGCACAAAAAGUAAGAAAAACAAAUAUGUUUGGAAUGAUGAGGGUGGCCCAUGGUGAUGGAAAAGCCAAUGGACAGAGCGGCAGAACCCAGGCGUCCAUUUUUUCGCUCAUCUGUGACGGCAAAGACGCAGACCACCAGUUGCAUGAGGGCUGCGGCUCCUGCCAGUGCCCCCAGGCACUGAGCGCAAAUGUAGAAGAAAGCACGGAACAGAGACAUCUGAGAGCCAACUAAGUAGGCGAAGGUGACGGCCGGAUUGAUGUGUCCUCCGCUGAUGUGGCCAAU